UUUUCUCUUUAAGGUGGCACCCACAGCAUUUGGGAAGUUCAGGUCCAGUGACUGAAUCUGAGCCGCAGCUAUAACCGACACCACUGCUGGGGCAACGCCACAUCCUUGAACUCAUUGUGUCCAGCCAGAGCUCAAACCCGCACCUCCACUGCAACACGAGCCACUGAAGUGAGGUUCCUAACCCACCGUACCACAGUGGGAACUCCUGAAAUAACAUGACUUCAUUUUAUUAGAUAUGUCUUCUGAGUCAGAAACUCCAUGCCUGGCAUUUGUCCUCUUCUUUUUACUAUCUGUUGUGGUUUCCUUAACAUUUACAUGACUCUUUGUAAAUUCACUUUUCAGGAGAACUUCAGGAUGAAAACGCCAGUCUUCGGAAAACAAAUGGUAACAUUUCUGAUAUCCCAUCACCCCAGUGCUCUUGAGCCCCUCUGAAGCGACUGGUUCAGCCUUUCCUCUUGUCUGCCGUUUCAUCUGUUUUCGCUUGUGUCGGCAUGCCUUUCUCUUGCACGUCCUGUCUACGAGCUCCACCUCAAUGUUUUGCGUGGGACUUGUCCCACGUUCCUUCUGUCCAUUUCUGUUUGCCUACCUCCUCUGCUCUGCCAUUCCUGCUCUUUGCAAUGCAUGCCAUGCCCUCCCGCUAAGGACUGGCUUUGCUUCGGUCUUUCAGGCACUUGCCACAGUUUCAUGAAGUUGGUGAGAUGCAAAGCAUUACGCUGAGAGGGAGAUGGUUUCUCUUCCACGUGUGUUUCUCAAAACAUCCAAACAGGGGCUCUGUCGGGACUUCCAAGUCAGAGGGGCCAUUCCUGCACAAGGGAUAGCUCUUCAAAGACUUAAGAGAUGGGAGAUGGCCCCAAAACGGCUCAGUUAAUGCCCUCUGCCCACUGCCCUUUCAAAGCCUAAGUAGUAUAUGCUAUCAUCCAUCGGUCAAGAGUGUGCCAGGGCGCCCCUCUUCCACUGGCCUUACCCCUGGGAACCAAGUAUUCCCAGGUAUGAACAUGUUACUUCAGUUUGCCUGCUGUUCUAAACAAAAGCCAGGCCUACCGGUUGUGUCAUUUUGUGUGUCUCAGAGUUCUGAAAUGUCAGUUCUCCCUGACGGAGGCUGUUGAAAAUUUAGAGCAAUCUUCAGUUCCACGUGUAACACAUCUUUUCGGUUCUUUUGGGUUACUCGCUUUUAGAAUGAUUAGCUUUCCUCCCCCGAAGUUAGGUGAGAUGGCAUUACUAGCCUUUUUUGUUUUGUAAGGGCCACACCCACCGGCACAGGGACAUUCCCAGGCUAGGGGCUGAAUGGGAGCUGUAGCCGCCAGCCUACACCACAGAAGCAGCAAGGCCGGUACCAGCCACCCCUGCGAACCACACACCACAGCCCAUGGCCACGCCAGAGCCUUAACCUCCUGAGCGAGGGCCGGAUGGAACCUGUGUCCUCCUGGAUACU
rnacentral:lncRNA from 1 species